rnacentral:rRNA from 1 species
UGGGGAAUAUUGGACAAUGGGCGAAAGCCUGAUCCAGCCAUGCCGCGUGUGUAAAGAAGGUCUUCGGAUUGUAAAGCACUUUAAGUUGGGAGGAAGGGCAGUAAGCGAAUACCUUGCUGUUUUGACGUUACCGACAGAAUAAGCACCGGCUAACUCUGUGCCAGCAGCCGCGGUAAUACAGAGGGUGCAAGCGUUAAUCGGAAUUACUGGGCGUAAAGCGCGCGUAGGUGGUUCGUUAAGUUGAAUGUGAAAGCCCCGGGCUCAACCUGGGAACUGCAUCCAAAACUGGCGAGCUAGAGUAGGGCAGAGGGUGGUGGGAUUUCCUGUGUAGCGGUGAAAUGCGUAGAUAUAGGAAGGAACACCAGUGGCGAAGGCGACCACCUGGGCUCAUACUGACACUGAGGUGCGAAAGCGUGGGGAGCAAACAGG